rnacentral:lncRNA from 10 species
UGAACCCGGGAGGCGGAGCUUGCAGUGAGCCGGGACUGUGCCACUGCACUCCAGCCUGGGUGACAGAGCGGGACUCCGUCAAAAAAAUAAAUAAAUAAAUAAAAGUACAAAAAAUUAGCUGGGGGUGGUGGCACGUGCCUGUAAUCCCAGCUACUCAGAAGGCUGAGGCUGGAGAAUCACUUGAACCCGGGUUGCAGUGAGUCGAGAUCGCGCCGCUGCACUCCAGCCUGGGCGACAGAGCAAAACUCAGUCUCAAAAAAAUAUAUACAAAAAUUAGCCGGGCAUGGUGGCGUGCGCCUGUAAUCCCAGCUACUCAGGAGGCUGAGGCAGGAGAAUGGCUUAAACCUGGGAGGAGGAGGUUGCAGUGAGCAGAGAUGGCGCCACUGCACUCCACCCUGGGAGACAGAGCAAGACUGUCUAGAAAAAAAUACAAGCCGGGUGCAGUGGCUCACACCUGUAAUCCUAGCACUUUGGGGGGCUGAGGUGGACGAUCACCUGAGGUCAGGAGUUCAAGACCAGCCCGGCCAACAGGGUGAAACCCCGUCUCUACUAAAAAUAUAAAAAAUUACCCGGGUGUGGUGGCACAUGCCUGCAAUCCCAGCUACUCGGGAGGGUGAGGCAGGAGAAUCUCUUGAACUGGGGAAGUGGAGGUUACAGUGAGCCAAGAUCGCGCCAUUACACUCCAGCCUGGGCGACGAGAGUGAAACUCUAUCUCAAAACAAAAACAAAAGCAAAAAUUUCAGAAGAAAGGGAAGUUUCAUGAAACUAAGUUUGGCAAUGAUUGCCUCAAUGUGACAGCAAAAGGCACAGGCAAUGAAAUCAAAAAAGAUAAAUUGCAUUACAUCAAAAUUCAAAAUGUACAAAGGACACUAGAAAGAAAAGCAGCUGGGCAUGGUGGCGCAUACUUGUAAUCACCCCACCACUUUGGGAAGCUGAGGCAGGAGACCAAGAGUUGGAGACCAGCCUGGGCAACAUAGUGAGAUCCUGUCUCUACAAAAAAAGUAAAAAAAAAAAAAAAAAAGAAAGAAAGAAAAGAAAAAAAGAAAAGGCAGGCAUGGUGAUAUGUACCUGUGGUCCCAGCUAUUCCAAAGGCUGAGGUGGGAAGAUCUCUUGAGCCAAGGAAUUUGAGGCUGCAGUGAGCUAUGAUCAGGCCACUGCACUACAGCCCAGGUGGCAGAAUAAGACCCUCUCUCUAAAAAAAAAAAUUAGAAAAGCACCCCAUAUUUACAAAUCAAGUAUCUGAUAAGGGAUUAAUAUUCAGAACAUAUAAAGAAUGUCUACAACUCAAUAUAAAAAGAACCCAAUUAAAAAGUGGUCAAAAAGGCAGGGCAUCAUGGCUCAGGCCUAUUAUCCCAGCAACUUUGGGAGGCUGAAGUAGGAGGAUCCCUUGAGCUGAGGAGUUCAAGACCAACCUGGGCAAUAUAGUGAAACCUUGUCUCUACAAAAAAAUUAAAAAUUAGCCAGGUGUGGUGGCACACACCUGUGGUCUCAGCUACUUGGAGGGUUGAGAUGGGAGGAUUGCUUGAUACCAGGUGGCAGAGGUUGCAGUGAGCCAUGGUCAGACCACUGUACUCCAGCCUAGGUAACAGAGCAAAACCCUGUCUCAAAAAAGGAGUAAAAACAAAAUACAAAAAAAAAGUGGGCAAAAGACUUAAAUAGACAUUUCUCCAAAGAUAUACAGAUAGCAGGCACAUGAAAAGAUACUCAGCAUCACUAAUCAUUAGGGAAAUGCAAAUGAAAACCACAAUGAGCUAGCACACCUAAUAGAUGUGAACCUAUUAGGGUGGUUAUUAUAAAAAAUAAGUGUCAGGAUGUGGAGAAAUUGGGAUCCUUGUACAUUGCUGGUGGGAAUGUAAAAUGGUACAACCACUGUGGAAGACAAUGUGGAGGGUCCUCAAAAAAUUAAAUGUAGAAUUACCAUAUGAUCCAACAAUUCUACCUCUAGGUAUAUAUCCAAAGGAAUUGAAAGCAGGGACUCAAACAUAUUUGUACACCAAUGUUCAUAGCAGCAUUAUUCACAACAGUAACUCAAGUGCCCAUUGAUGGAUGGAUGGAUGGAUAAACAAAAUAUGGUAUGUACAUGCAACAGAAUAUUUUUCAGCCUUUAAAAGGAAGGAAAUUUUGACACAUGCUACAACAGGGAUGAACCUUUAAAACAUUAUGCUAAGUGAAAUAAGCGAGACAUAAAAGAACAAAUGUUAUAUGAUUCCACUUAUAUGAGGUACCUUAGAAUAGUGGUCCCCAACGUUUUUGGCACCAGGAACUGGUUUCAUGGAAGACAAUUUUUUCCACAAACCAGUUGGGGGCAUACUGGGGGAUGGUUUUGGGAAGGUUCAAGUGCAUUACAUUUAUUGUGUACUUUAUUAUUAUUACAUUGUAGUAUGUAAUGAAAUAAUUACACAACUCACCAUAAUGUAUAAUCAGUGGGAGCCCUGAGCUUGUUUUCCUGCAACUAGACUGCCCCAUCUGGGGGUCAUAUGAGACAGUGACCCAUUAUCAGGCAUUAGAUUUGCAUAAGGAGCCCACAACCUAGAUUCCUCGCAUGUGCAGUUCGCAACAGGGUUCACGCUUCUAUGAGAAUCUAAUGCUGCUACUGAUCUGACAGGAGGCGGAGCUCAGGCAGUAAUGCAAACAAUGGGGAGCAGCUGUAAAUAAAGACGAAGCUUUGUUCACUCACUCUCUAUUCACCUCCUGCUGUGCAGUCUGGUUCCUAACAGGUCACUGAUCAAUAUGGGUCAUGGCCUGGGGGUUGGCGACUCCUGCCUUAGCAUGAUCAAAUUCAUAGAGACAGAAAGAAUUACUA